GGACUACUUUAUUUCAAAGUACCACAAAUUACACCUUUAUAAAAUGUACAUAUAACAUGACUUUUGUUAAUUUCUAAAAUUCUUCAGAAAUACUGGGUUUACCAACCAAACUGAAUACUGAGGUUGUUUAAUCUUAAACCAUAACCUGAGUCGAAAUUGUUCCUUCCACAUUAAUCUUAUUCUAAUUAUUUAUUUAAAGCAGGAUCUUACUAAGUAGCCCUGGCCGGCCUUAAACACAAGAGAUCCUCCUGUUUCUGCUUCCCAGUGCUGAGACUAAAGUCAUGAACUAACGCUAUCUGUAUUCUCUUAAAAAAAAAAAAAAAAGACCUAGUAGUAGUGAUUUCUCAAAACUUUUACUUAAGAAUUCCUCUUAAUAUUGCUCUCAUUCUUUUUAGAAACUUCCCUGGAUAUAAAACCUCAGUGUUAGUGUUCUCAUCCUAUACCUCCACCCUUCACUCUUUCUGCUUCUGUACCCUCCUUUCAGUUCCUCCUCUUAACUUUGGACAUCGAAAAAACAAGCUAUCCAAUCAUUUAAUUGGAGACACAUGGAUAUUAGUUGCUUCUUUUUGUUGCUUUCAAGAUUCUGUCUCUGGAUUUUGGUAAGUCUGAUUAGAAUGGAUCAUGAUAAUUACCUUUUAUGGUUUACUCUAGACUAUACUGGAUAUCAUAUGCAUGUACAUUUGUGCCUCAAAAAAAAAUUGCACUUUUUCCAGCUAUUACUCCUUGAACGUUCACUCUUAGGGAAAAUUUGGUGCAAAUACAAUUAGAAUAAUAAAAUCAUUUAAAAUGGGAAUUUUGCUUUCUACAGCUCUGUAAAGGUUAUUUUUCUGAUAGCUCCAUAGCAUACAAUUGUCUCAAAACUAUUGUUCUAAGGGUCUUGUACAUCCUAACGAAGUGCUUUAUCAAUGAACUAUACCAAUGAAUUAAAUCAAUUAUACCAAUGAAUUAAAUCAACAACCCGGAUAACCCUACAAUGACUUGUUUUAGGGUUCAGAUUGUGGUAUGUUAUGACAAAUGCUUAAAACACAUUUUUUUUUUUAAAUUGUCAUUUCACUGUUGUGUGAGAUGCUCCAUGUCACUUACAGUAGUUAUCCAUGGUGUCCAAGUAAUUAUGGGUUUAUUGUUGUCCUACUAAUGACUCAAAGAGGUUAUUUUAAGAUUUGCAACUUAUGCAAUGUAGAUAUGUCGUUUUUCUUGUAGUCCUGUUAUGAAAGGUUCUAGAUUCUUCCAGUAAUCUAGGACUGCUCUUAAGUAUAUAGAGAGGUCUGUCACCUGUUUUCCUAAUUUUUUAGUUAGCUGCAUGUUUGUCUCAAAGCGUAUUUGCUAUUAACAUGCUCAACUUUUUUGAGAAAACACUAAGAUUUGUUUCCAUCCUUUAAAAAAUCAUUUUUGAUAUGCAUUUAAUAUGUAUUUAAUAUGUCUUAUACAUUGAAUAGUUAGGCCUUUAUACAAAUCCAACUAAAAUUUUCUUUGCAAUGUAGAGUUUAUAUUAUAAAGUUUUAUCACUUUGUUAUUCUGUUCAUUAGCACCACUAUAUAUUUUCCCGUUGUUUCUGCUUUUAUUUAAAUUGAGCAUUGUAUUAGUUCCCUAAGGUUGCUGUAUUACUGCAAACUAAGUGACUAAAUGACAUAGUGCAAAACAAUUCAUUGUGUUAAUUCUGGAGAUUAGGCAUGGUAACAUUCAAACAAACAAACAAAAGUAUUAUCAGGGCUUUACCUAAAACCUGUAUGAGAAUCACUGUCUCUUCCAGGUUCUGAUUUUUUUCACUUUUUAAAAGUAAUCUUUGGUAUUCUUCAUCUUGUAGAAACAAUGCCCAAUCUCUUGCUCCAUAUUACUCAUUUUCUUCCUAUUUGUGUUUGCUCUCCUUAUAUAGUAAGGACAUCAGGCAAUACUAAAUUACAGCUUAUUCUAAAGCCACAAGUCUCAAUUAAAUACAACUGGAUAGAUACUUCCAAUUAAGUACCUCUUCACAACUGUCAGAUAUGGCAAUCUAAAAUCUAUAUGUAUAGUUUACCAAACUUAAAACUUCUGGUAAUCUUCAAAAUUAUUUGUCUCUGACUUUCUUCCUGUUAAGGAGCUUUGAUUUACACAUGCUACAGAAGAAAGGGCCAAGUUGUUGCUUCGCUUGUUACCAUUAUGGUAGCUAGAAGUUAGCCUUUGCCAACAUUCCCUGUAAAAUAGGAACCUGAGGUUAAUUGUCAUAAGUACCUAAGAGAAAUACCUGAUCAACGUCCAAAUUAUAUCUUCAUACUCUGACAGCUGAGCUGAGUUUAAAAAAUUAUAGUACCAGUGUCUUACCGGGUUGACAAAAUGUUUUUAGGCAUUUGUUGAGUUUUAGAUAUGAGACUCUCAAAUUUGAGUGGUUAUAUAUUUUCAUAAGUUCUAUCAAAGCUAAUUAUAACACAAUUUCAAAGAGUUACAAGAAGCUAUUGACUCACUAGAAAUCCUGCCAGCAUUCUGCUCACCUUCGUUAGGUAUCCCUUUCCAGGCUCACCUCCAUUCCUCUCUAUACCAUAAAACACAGAAAGGACAAAGCUCAGAUUGCAAUAAGACAAAUGAAUUGCCUUCUCCAUUGGCUUUUUCAUUUCCCCUUCUGAUUUUCUAGGACAAUACAUUUAUUAAUAGUUAAAAGACAAGGCCAGUGACAUGGUUUAGCAUGGAAGUGGACUUGCUGCUAUACCUCACAAUGUGUAUUUAACCCCAUUAGUCACACAAUAGAGAACCAACUCUUGCAAAAUAGUCUACAUAUGAAAUUCCAUUAAGAAUGAUAUUUGAUAUACUACAAGUGGCAGAAAUUUUCGGGGAUACACUAAUAAAAAGUGACAGGAGCACACUGCUAGUUUUGUAGAGAGCUUGGGACAGUCUGAGAUACAGAAGAGGAAUGGGGGAAAGAGUAGGGUUCUGGGUAAAUUACACAUGGCGACUAUCAGUGGAUCCCACAAAUGCGCACUCGCACGUGCGUGCACACACAUAGUAACAAUUUUAAUGAACAAAGUAUAAAAUGCUAGUCCUCCACUAGAAAUGACUAGUAUUGUAUACAAGGAUAUCUUCCCAAUUUUUUUUUUUUUUUUGCCAUAACAGACAUGUAACUGAAAUAUUACCUUUUAUGACAGAAAGAAAAAAAAAGAGGGAAAGG
rnacentral:lncRNA from 1 species